UCCAACUCGUACACAGGGAAGCGAAGGACCAGGAGCAGAUCACACCAACAAACAACCAUAAGCAUUCGACAAAUGAAACUAAUAAACAUUCAUCAAACCCCAAAAUAACACAUGAUCCCUGGGUCACAGACCUAGGCCCAUGACACAGAGUUUGGUUCCUUUAAAGAAGACUAUAUUUAAAAACACACUGAGACGCAUGUUACCUAAGUAAAUUGAAGUUAUUCUAAACUUCCAAUCCCACAGAUGAAGUUCCCAGUUGAAGACAUGUGGCUGUGCCCUGUGAACUAUAAAUAAAUUAGCAUAAUUUGUUGUGAAGCAGUUUCUUGAUGAAUGUGUUAUCCUUAAAUUGGUUUUCAUUGGCAAAAACUGUUUUAAUUUCUUUUUUUUUUUUUAGAUUGUCAACAUUUCUGCAAAGAAAAUACUGCUCAUAGACCCCAUGAGGAAUGAAGGUUUAUGACAGGAAAAUUCUGCGUAACUGAGGGCAUGUAUGAUACUGAGGUAUUAUUCUUAGAAAAAACAUUUCUUGUUUCAUUAUAAAUUGCUUUUUCAACUAGGAAAUAUCUGAGGAUGAGAGGGCAUGAAGACACCAUGGAGUGGCAGUUACAGACUCUGCAACACAAUAAGCAACAGGAUUCCAGCAGUUGCGGAGUUUUACUGUUAAAAUUUGCAGAAAACUACCUUGCUUUUGGAGAGGUCAGUGGUCACUACGGAAGUAGUUGUACUGGAGCGAAUACAGAUAGCUUGCACCCUAUUUGAACAUCGAGGGAACCCUGAGGACUACUGCAUUGUUUGCUCUAUGUUAGAUGCUGAACGCAGCAUGUUUGAAAUGGUGCAGUGUGAUUCUUGCCAAAGAUGGGCACAUUUUGAAUAUGUAAAAUAUAAGGAGAGCAACCUAGAAUAUAAAUGCAAAAAAUGUGAGGAAAACAUGUAACAACUUCUAAUAAAAACAGCUGUCUUUUCCCC